UACGUAGGGUGCAAGCGUUGUCCGGAAUUAUUGGGCGUAAAGAGCUCGUAGGCGGUCUGUUGCGUCGGCUGUGAAAACCCGGGGCUCAACCCCGGGCCUGCAGCCGAUACGGGCAGACUAGAGUUCGGCAGGGGAGACUGGAAUUCCUGGUGUAGCGGUGAAAUACGCAGAUAUCAGGAGGAACACCGGUGGCGAAGGCGGGUCUCUGGGCCGAUACUGACGCUGAGGAGCGAAAGCGUGGGGAGCAAACAGG
rnacentral:rRNA from 1 species